UUAAGUUAGAAAGGGCGCACGGUGGAUGCCUUGACACUAGGAGUCGAUGAAGGACGGGACUAACGCCGAUAUGCUUCGGGGAGCUGUAAGUAAGCUUUGAUCCGAAGAUUUCCGAAUGGGGAAACCCACCAUACGUAAUGGUAUGGUAUCCUUAUCUGAAUACAUAGGGUAAGGAAGACAGACCCAGGGAACUGAAACAUCUAAGUACCUGGAGGAAGAGAAAGCAAAUGCGAUUUCCUGAGUAGCGGCGAGCGAAACGGAACAUAGCCCAAACCAAGAGGCUUGCCUCUUGGGGUUGUAGGACAUUCUAUACGGAGUUACAAAGGAACGAGGUAGACGAAGCGACCUGGAAAGGUCCGUCGUAGAGGGUAACAACCCCGUAGUCGAAACUUCGUUCUCUCUUGAAUGUAUCCUGAGUACGGCGGAACACGUGAAAUUCCGUCGGAAUCUGGGAGGACCAUCUCCCAAGGCUAAAUACUCCCUAGUGAUCGAUAGUGAACCAGUACCGUGAGGGAAAGGUGAAAAGCACCCCGGAAGGGGAGUGAAAGAGAUCCUGAAACCGUGUGCCUACAAAUAGUCAGAGCCCGUUAACGGGUGAUGGCGUGCCUUUUGUAGAAUGAACCGGCGAGUUACGAUCCCGUGCGAGGUUAAGCUGAAGAGGCGGAGCCGCAGCGAAAGCGAGUCUGAAUAGGGCGUUUAGUACGUGGUCGUAGACCCGAAACCAGGUGAUCUACCCAUGUCCAGGGUGAAGUUCAGGUAACACUGAAUGGAGGCCCGAACCCACGCACGUUGAAAAGUGCGGGGAUGAGGUGUGGGUAGCGGAGAAAUUCCAAUCGAACCUGGAGAUAGCUGGUUCUCCCCGAAAUAGCUUUAGGGCUAGCCUUAAGUGUAAGAGUCUUGGAGGUAGAGCACUGAUUGGACUAGGGGUCCUCAUCGGAUUACCGAAUUCAGUCAAACUCCGAAUGCCAAUGACUUAUCCUUAGGAGUCAGACUGCGAGUGAUAAGAUCCGUAGUCAAAAGGGAAACAGCCCAGACCGCCAGCUAAGGUCCCAAAGUGUGUAUUAAGUGGAAAAGGAUGUGGAGUUGCUUAGACAACUAGGAUGUUGGCUUAGAAGCAGCCACCAUUUAAAGAGUGCGUAAUAGCUCACUAGUCGAGUGACUCUGCGCCGAAAAUGUACCGGGGCUAAAUACACCACCGAAGCUGCGGAUUGAUACCAAUGGUAUCAGUGGUAGGGGAGCGUUCUAAGGACAGUGAAGUCAGACCGGAAGGACUGGUGGAGUGCUUAGAAGUGAGAAUGCCGGUAUGAGUAGCGAAAGACGGGUGAGAAUCCCGUCCACCGAAUGCCUAAGGUUUCCUGAGGAAGGCUCGUCCGCUCAGGGUUAGUCAGGACCUAAGCCGAGGCCGACAGGCGUAGGCGAUGGACAACAGGUUGAUAUUCCUGUACCACCUCUUUAUCGUUUGAGCAAUGGAGGGACGCAGAAGGAUAGAAGAAGCGUGCGAUUGGUUGUGCACGUCCAAGCAGUUAGGCUGAUAAGUAGGCAAAUCCGCUUAUCGUAAAGGCUGAGCUGUGAUGGGGAAGCUCCUUAUGGAGCGAAGUCUUUGAUUCCCCGCUGCCAAGAAAAGCUUCUAGCGAGAUAAAAGGUGCCUGUACCGCAAACCGACACAGGUAGGCGAGGAGAGAAUCCUAAGGUGUGCGAGAGAACUCUGGUUAAGGAACUCGGCAAAAUGACCCCGUAACUUCGGGAGAAGGGGUGCUUUCUUAACGGAAAGCCGCAGUGAAUAGGCCCAAGCGACUGUUUAGCAAAAACACAGCUCUCUGCGAAGCCGUAAGGCGAAGUAUAGGGGGUGACACCUGCCCGGUGCUGGAAGGUUAAGGAGAGGGGUUAGCGUAAGCGAAGCUCUGAACUGAAGCCCCAGUAAACGGCGGCCGUAACUAUAACGGUCCUAAGGUAGCGAAAUUCCUUGUCGGGUAAGUUCCGACCCGCACGAAAGGUGUAACGAUUUGGGCACUGUCUCAACCAGAGACUCGGUGAAAUUAUAGUACCUGUGAAGAUGCAGGUUACCCGCGACAGGACGGAAAGACCCCGUGGAGCUUUACUGUAGCCUGAUAUUGAAUUUUGGUACAGUUUGUACAGGAUAGGCGGGAGCCAUUGAAAC
rnacentral:rRNA from 1 species